rnacentral:rRNA from 1 species
UUGGAGGGCAAGUCUGGUGCCAGCAGCCGCGGUAAUUCCAGCUCCAAUAGCGUAUAUUAAAGUUGUUGCAGUUAAAAAGCUCGUAGUUGAAUUUCGGGGUUAGUAGGUUGGUCAUGCCUCUGGUAUGUACUGGUCUCACUGAUUCCUCCUUCCUGAUGAGCCGUAAUGCCAUUAAUUUGGUGUUGCGGGGAAUUUGGACUGUUACUUUGAAAAAAUUAGAGUGUUUAAAGCAAGCUAACGCUUGAAUACAUUAGCGUGGAAUAAUGAAAUAGGACGUUCGAUCCUAUUUUGUUGGUUUCUAGGAUUGACGUAAUGAUUAAUAGGGAUAGUUGGGGGCAUUAGUAUUCAAUUGUCAGAGGUGAAAUUCUUGGAUUUAUUGAAGACUAACUACUGCGAAAGCAUUUGCCAAGGAUGUUUUCAUUAAUCAAGAACGAAAGUUAGGGGAUCGAAGACGAUCAGAUACCGUCGUAGUCUUAACCAUAAACUAUGCCGACUAGGGAUCGGAUGAUGUUAAUUUUUUAAUGACUCAUUCGGCGCCUUACGGGAAACCAAAGUGUUUGGGUUC